rnacentral:ncRNA from 2 species
CACAAUUGUUGAUAUCCGGGUUUAGGGAACCCCGUCAUCUCCUUUAAAAAGGAGAGAUUCGGGGACGGACCCGCCGCUGUAAUCGGGGACGAAACUUGCACAGGCCACUGCCCUGAGCCUGUCGAAGGGUGGGAAGGCGCAAGGAUUAGGAAGAUCCGAAAGUCAGAAAACCUGCCCGGAUAUUCUUCACGAA